AAUAAGAUAUAGGGUGUUGGUUCGAAGUUGGAGCCGGAAUCGGAAUCGGAAUCGUAAUCAAAAUAAGCUGGAAUCGGAAUCGGAAUGACUCAUUACUUAAUUCUGUUUGGUUCAUCACCUGAAUCGGAAUCGGAAUAAAUCAUUUCCAUUGUCGGUGUUUGGUUCAGAUAGAUAUAAAAAACGUAAUCAAAUUAAUAUACUAACAUUAUCUUUAUAAUAUAUUAAUUUAAAUUCAAAUUAAAUAUUAAAUAUUAAAAAUUUACAUCAAAAUUUUGAAAUAAUGUCAAAAUUUUAUAUCUAUUUUUUAAAAAAAAAAAUUAAAUUUUGAAGUUGAGUGGAU
rnacentral:lncRNA from 1 species